rfam:Salmo salar isolate Sally breed double haploid chromosome ssa19, whole genome shotgun sequence.
UGCACUCACUACUGUAAGUCGCUCUGGAUAAAAGCAUCUGCUAAAUUAGUAAAA